AUUGAAACACCAGUUUCCAUAGAUCACCGAAGUUAAGCAAUGUUGAGCCUGGUCAGUACUUAGAUGGGUGACCGCUUAGGAAUAUCAGCUGCUGUAAG